rnacentral:rRNA from 1 species
GACGAACCGAGCGAACGUUGUUCGGAAUAACUGGGUUAAGGGCGCGUAGGCGGCCGCCAAGUUCGAGGUGAAAUCCUCCGGCUCAACCGGAGAACUGCCUCGAAUACUGGAGGCCUCGAGGCGGGUAGGGGCAUGCGGAACUGUGGGUGGAGCGGUGAAAUGCGUUGAUAUCCACAGGAACUCCGGUGGCGAAGGCGGCAUGCUGGACCCGAUCUGACGCUGAGGCGCGGAAAGCCAGGGGAGGCAAAACGGG